rnacentral:rRNA from 1 species
UUUAACUGAAGAGUUUGAUCAUGGCUCAGAUUGAACGCUGGCGGCAGGCUUAACACAUGCAAGUCGAGCGGGGGAAGGUAGCUUGCUACUGGACCUAGCGGCGGACGGGUGAGUAAUGCUUAGGAAUCUGCCUAUUAGUGGGGGACAACAUCUC